UAGGAUGUCGUCUAAUGGCAAGACACCAUGUUUUGGUCAUGGGUAUAAUUGUUCGAUUCAAUUCAUCCUAG
rnacentral:tRNA from 1 species